GUGCAUACAUAUAUAUGCGUCUGUGUUCAUGUGCAUGUAUGUAUGUGUAUUCCCUUGUACUGCACUCAGAUAUAUAUUAUGAUGCUUGCAUACA
rnacentral:miRNA from 1 species